CCCUUAGAUGUUCUGGGCCGCACGCGUGCUACACUGAUGCAUUCAACGAGUCUAAAACCUGGUCUGAUAGGGCUGGGUAAUCUUUUGAAAGUGCAUCGUGAUUGGGAUAGAUGAUUGCAAUUCUUCAUCUUCAACGAGGAAUGCCUAGUAAACGCAAGUCAUCAGCUUGCAUUGAUUACGUCCCUGCCCUUUGUACACACCGCCCGUCGCUCCUACCGAUUGAAUGAUCAGAUGAAUACCAUGGAUUGAGAGUACGAAUAGGUUCGCUUAUUUCUGCUGCUCGAGAAGUGGAGUAAAUCUUAUCAUUUAGAGGAAGGAGAAGUCGUAACA
rnacentral:rRNA from 1 species